GGGAGCCCAGGGCACAACCAAGCAAGAGGGCAGCAAAUCAGACGCAGCUCCCAUGGGUGAGGUCCCACUGGCUGGAGCAGGCUGCAGAGCAAAAAUUCUUUCAGGAAAACGAGCUGCCACAAACCCUUCAAAGACUUGUGCAGUUUGCUCCGAGUUGAGAAUGAGGCAGGCGUGGUAACGCCGCAGGACGGCAACGAUGCACACACACAGCCCCGUGGUGUAGCUCCCUGCAAGGCUGGACGACUUCAGCAGCAGCUCUGCCUCCACCACGCUCAGCUCAUUCAGCAGCUGAGAACACACACCAGAACAAC
rnacentral:lncRNA from 1 species